rnacentral:piRNA from 1 species
UACUGUUGCUAGGUAACUGGGAGGAGUC